CAAGAUGGCUGCUCCUUGAAGACUUUGUUCUCCUAAAUGUUUGCUCCUCGCUCGUGUCAGGCUCAGAGUUAAAGACUCGGCCUUUCUCCAAACAUGUUCUUCUUCCGAGGCUGUGGUCGCUGGGUCGCGGCUUCACUCACCAAACAGCACCAUCAGUCUUUCCGGUUCAGCGGUGACAGCGCGGCGCCCUGGACUCCGCACUUCGACGUGGUAGUUAUCGGCGGAGGACAUGCGGGGACCGAAGCCGCUGCCGCCGCCGCUCGAUGCGGCUCCCGGACUCUCCUGCUCACGCACCGAGUGGACACCAUCGGUCAGAUGUCCUGUAAUCCUUCCUUUGGUGGCAUUGGAAAAGGGCAUUUAAUGAGAGAAGUUGAUGCCUUGGAUGGCCUGUGUUCUCGAAUCUGUGACCAGUCUGGUGUACAUUACAAAGUAUUAAACCGGCGCAAGGGACCAGCUGUUUGGGGUCUGAGAGCUCAAAUUGAUAGGAAACUUUAUAAACAGAACAUGCAGAAAGAAAUCCUAAAUACACCACUGCUUACUGUUCAGGAGGGAGCUGUAGAAGAUCUCAUUCUUACAGAACCAGAGCCUGAGCACACUGGAAAAUAUCGUGUCAGUGGUGUUGUUUUGGGGGAUGGAAGUACAGUGUAUGCGGAGAGUGUGGUUCUAACUACUGGGACGUUUCUGAGAGGCAUGAUUGUAAUUGGAUUGGAGAUGCAUCCAGCAGGACGUUUAGGGGAUCAGCCUUCCAUAGGGUUGGCUCAGACUCUGGAGAAGUUGGGGUUUGUGGUGGGAAGAUUGAAGACUGGGACUCCGCCCCGGAUCGCCAAAGAAUCCAUUAAUUUCAGUAUUCUAAACAAGCAGACACCAGAUAAUCCAUCCAUACCGUUCAGCUUUAUCAAUGAGACAGUGUGGAUCAAGCCAGAAGAUCAGCUGCCAUGUUACUUGACUCACACCAACCCUCAAGUGGAUGAGAUUGUCCUUGAGAACCUUCACCUUAACUGUCACGUUAAGGAAAGUACAAGAGGACCCCGAUACUGUCCCUCUAUUGAAUCAAAGGUUUUGCGUUUUCCAAACCGUUUACAUCAGGUUUGGUUGGAACCUGAAGGAAUGGAUUCUGACCUCAUCUACCCCCAAGGGUUAUCUGUGACACUACCAGCUGAAUUACAAGAGAAAAUGAUCACAUGCAUCAGAGGCUUGGAGAAAGCUAAAGUGAUUCAGCCAGGCUAUGGUGUUCAGUAUGAUUACUUGGACCCCCGUCAGAUCACUCCUUCUCUCGAGACUCAUUUGGUGCAGCGGCUCUUCUUUGCCGGACAGAUAAAUGGCACUACUGGUUAUGAGGAAGCUGCAGCUCAAGGUGUGAUAGCUGGAAUCAAUGCAAGUCUUCGGGUCAGACACAAGCCUCCUUUUGUCAUUAGCCGAACAGAAGGCUACAUAGGAGUCUUGAUUGAUGACCUCACCACGCUGGGUACCAACGAACCAUACCGCAUGUUUACCAGCCGAGCUGAGUUCCGCUUGUCACUGCGUCCUGAUAACGCCGACAGCAGGCUCACGUUCCGAGGGUACAAGGAAGCUGGUUGUGUGUCCCAACAACGAUAUGAAAGAGCUACGUGGAUGAAGUCUUCUUUAGAAGAAGGCAUUUCUGUGCUAAAAUCCAUUGAGUUUCCAAGUUCUAAGUGGAAAAACUUAAUCCCAGAGGCUUCUAUAAGUAUUGGUAAAAGUCUACCUCUCAGAGCUCUCGAUGUUCUGAAGUAUGAGGAAGUUGACACAGAGUUGUUGGCCAAGGCUGUUCCAGAGCCCUUGAAGAAGUACACCAAAUGUAGAGAGCUCGCCGAAAGACUGAAAAUAGAAGAGGGGUCUGUCACCUUGCUGUACUUUGGCUGCAUAUAUAGGAUGACCCAAGUGCCUCCUAUCAUUCUUCCACAUGACCAGACCCUAAUCAUUUGCUGAUGUGUAAGAAGUAUUUGUUAACCUUAUAUCUCAACAUCAUGACCUUUCUAUUGAGUAAAAAUUACUUUAUUGAACAUUUAGGCUGUUAGCAUCUGGCUGUUAUACUUUAAACUUGGUUUGCAGUCUUGUUUUGUCCAAUAAAUCAUCCAGAAUAAUUAUCUUUAACUUGUUUAUAGGAAACCCUGACUUGAGCCAUGGAGUAGCUACUGUUUUGCCUUGUUCUUUAAAGACUCUGGCAUAUAUAAAGACUAAUUUACAUUCAUGGCUUAAAAGAAACUACACUAAGUUAAAAAAUAAUACGUAUCAGUGGUUUGCAAAUCACUGCCUGGAUCCUCCACUAGACAAGUUUCUUCAAGAAACUGCGAGGCAGAAAUUAGUUUCAGAUUCUUUUUUAUAGUUCUCUCUCAUGUUCUGCUGUGUACAUAUUUGAAAGAUUAAAUAUAUCUUUAACAUCUACAUUACCUCUUCAUUUAUAUUCUGUGAUCCUAUAAAGUCUAUUCAUGAGUCAUAAAAUUUCAUUACAGUUUGUUGUACUAAUUUGUUAUAUAUUGUGUUAAUCACAUGCAUUAUUUCAUUUGAUACUUAAAAGUGUCCUAUGAAGGAGAGUGGUUAGCAUUAUGUCUUAAUCUUACAGAUAAGUAAGUGAUAACUUGCCCAGCCUCACACAGUUGGGGAGUGUGGCAGAGCUAGGGUUUGAACCUGGCGUGUCCGACUGUAAGGCCUGUGCACCUCGCAACGACCCUUUGUUGUCAUACAGACCAUCGCAAGUCCUCCGGGUCAUCCCUUCACAUUUCUAGAUAAAGCAGCUGAGGCCCAGAAGGAUAAUGAUGUGUCCGUAGUUAGAGGGCAGUUUAUUGGCAGAGCCAGGCUCAGAGCUGAGAUUUUCUGGCUGCCAGUCAAGUGAUGGAAGCAGAUACUGCCAGAACCUUUAGGGAAGACUUGCUUUCUUAAACAGGACAGAAUGACCACCUCAAUUUAGGUUUUUUUUUUUU